rnacentral:rRNA from 1 species
AACGAACGCUGGCGGCAGGCUUAACACAUGCAGGCCGAACGAGAUCUUCGGAUCUAGUGGCAGACGGGUGAGGAACACGUGGGAACAUCCCUUUCAGUUCGGAAUAACGUUGGGAAACUAACGCUAAUACCGGAUACGUCCUUCGGGAGAAAGAUUUAUCGCUGAAAGAUUGGCCCGCGUCUGAUUAGCUAGUUGGUGAGGUAAUAGCUCACCAAGGCUACGAUCAGUAGCUGAUCUGAGAGGAUGAUCAGCCACAUUGGGACUGAGACACGGCCCAAACUCGUACGGGAGGCAGCAGUGGGGAAUAUUGGACAAUGGGCGCAAGCCUGAUCCAGCCAUGCCGCGUGAGUGAUGACGGCCUUCGGGUUGUAAAGCCCUUUUGUCCGGGAAGAUAAUGACUGUACCGGAAGAAUAAGCCCCGGCAAACUUCGUGCCAGCCGCCGCCGUAA